CCACCGGCGAUGUCGGUAUGUCAGCGUGUGUGCCACCGGUCAUCUGUGUGUGGUGCGUGUGUCUCCGCACCACGACUCCCUCUCCUGGGUCUGCGCAGUCCACGGAAGCAGCUCCCCUUCAGCUGUUGCCAGAAAACCGGGGAGGAAAGGAAGAAAAAUCAAUCAAACAGACCUUUGAUGGGGUCGCGGCAAGAUCACAUUUCACUGUGCUCCAGGCUUACCUCUUCUUAGGCCCCUCCCUGCUGUGAGUCGUAUGCAGGUAGUAUGCAAAACUCUAGAAAUAAUAUUUGAAAAAAUUAACACCUUGUUUAUCUCUUCUGUGUAUUUGACAUGGGGGUUUCUUUCUUUUCCUGUUUUGGUGUUUAAUACAAGGCUGAUAUGUUGGAACAGAAAGCGGACUUCAAAGAAACUAAAAUUAGGAGGCAAAUAGCAUCAAGGUUUCCUCAAUUUCUGUAGGUAGUACAAAUAGUAUAGCAUCUUUUCAUCCAAAAAGAAGCAAAAAUUGCCAGGAGGCAAAAUGCAUCUCUGAAUAUGCCUUUAAAAAAAAAAACAAAUAUUCCCCAAAUAUUGAUGUACCCAUGGUUUUACAGUCUGAAAAUAUUUUUAGGCACAAAUAUGGCAUAAAAACAUUAGUUUCAACUCUGUCUUUGUUGUUGUUAAAAUGACAGUAAAUUAUACUUGAUUUAAAAAUACCUAUCUGCUAAUGUCAAUUGAGGUUAUUUUAAGGCCUGGAUGCUCUAGGAAGACCACCUAUAAUGUGUUUAUUUCUCUGCCCAAUUCACCUAUAGUGUAAGGAGCAUUUUAAAUAAAAUAUUUUGGGCAUCCUUAAGUCCUUUGUUAAAAAUCCAAUACUCUACAAUUGUGACAAAUAGGCUGAAAAUUUUUGUUUUUUUUUAUACCAAAUUCAUUUUAAUAAAUAAAGCAUAUGCUGAGAUUUUAAUACAACAAAUGCCAACAAAAUGCAUCAGAGUAGAAAAAAGAAAAUAUUUUCAGAAUUGCUUAUAAUAUUGCUUGUGAUCCUAAAUUUUUUGAUGUAAGGAACUUGAAUUUUUCAGCUAAUAUUAUUCUGUUUUCUUACUCUAUGUUUCUAUUAGAACACUCACCUAUGCUCUGCUUCCCUUGCUGUCUUCCCAUAGCUUAUGUGUGCACUAUGAAUUUCAAUAAAUAUAAAUUACUGCUUAAAAGAG
rnacentral:lncRNA from 1 species